GAUGAAGAACGUAGCGAAAUGCGAUACUUGGUGUGAAUUGCAGAAUCCCGUGAACCAUCGAGUCUUUGAACGCAAGUUGCGCCCGAAGCCACUAGGCCGAGGGCACGCCUGCCUGGGCGUCACACGCCGUUGCCCCCCCAUCUACUCCUUCGGGAUUGCGGGGGGGCGGAUGAUGGCCUCCUGUGCGCCUAGCCGCGCGGUUGGCAUAAAUACCAAGUCCUCGGCGACGCACGCCACGACAAUCGGUGGUUGCGAAACCUCGGUUGCCCGUCGUGUGCGUUCGUCGCGCAUCGAGGGCUCGAAAAAAUGCUCGGCUCCGGCUGGGCUUUCAACGCGACCCCAGGUCAGGCGGGGUUACCCGCUGAAUUUAAGCAUAUCAAUGAGCGGAGGA
rnacentral:misc_RNA from 1 species